AAGUAAUUUGUGAAAAGUGAUGUCACUUUGCCAGCAAAGAGAGUUGGAGCCUCAUGUCAGAGAUGGAAAACCAUGUGCACACUGUUCUGAACACCAGCACAAGGACUUUCAGGUAAGGACUUCCUAAAUAAAAAGGCAAGGAGAUGAAAUAAGAUAAAGCAAAAUCACACUCCCCCCCAUGUUGAAGACUAUUUUUGUAUUUGUAUUGAUCCAAUACAGGUAAGAAGAACCAGAAUUCUGAUUUUAUUCCCUUAUAAGAUUUUUUGUUGUCUCUGAUACAGCAACUUAAAA